GCGACCUCAGGAUGGGCGGGAU
rnacentral:rRNA from 1 species